UUUCGGUACCGGGAGAAUAAGCACCGGCUAACUACGUGCCAGCAGCCGCGGUAAUACGUAGGGUGCGAGCGUUAAUCGGAAUUACUGGGCGUAAAGCGUGCGCAGGCGGUUUUGUAAGACAGAGGUGAAAUCCCCGGGCUCAACCUGGGAACUGCCUUUGWGACUGCAWAGCUUGAGUGCGGCAGAGGGGGAUGGAAUUCCGCGUGUAGCAGUGAAAUGCKUAGAUAUGCGGAGGAACACCGAUGGCGAAGGCAAUCCCCUGGGCCUGUACUGACGCUCAUGCACGAAAGCGUGGGGAGCAAACAGGAUUAGAUACCCUGGUAGUCCC
rnacentral:rRNA from 1 species